UACUUGGUAGCUCAGCUAGCAAAGUUUGAGACUCUUAAUCUCGGGGUCGUGGGUUUGAGCCCCAUGUUGGGCGAA